rnacentral:rRNA from 1 species
AUUGAACGCUGGCGGCAGGCCUAACACAUGCAAGUCGAGCGGGGUUUUCGGACCUAGCGGCGGACGGGUGAGUAAUGCGUAGGAAGCCGCCCGAUAGAGGGGGAUACCAGUUGGAAACGACUGUUAAUACCGCAUAAUGUCUACGGACCAAAGUGUGGGACCUUCGGGCCACAUGCUAUCGGAUGCGCCUACGUGGGAUUAGCUAGUUGGUGAGGUAAUGGCUCACCAAGGCGACGAUCUCUAGCUGGUUUGAGAGGAUGAUCAGCCACACUGGAACUGAGACACGGUCCAGACUCCUACGGGAGGCAGCAGUGGGGAAUAUUGGACAAUGGGCGCAAGCCUGAUCCAGCCAUGCCGCGUGUGUGAAGAAGGCCUUCGGGUUGUAAAGCACUUUCAGCGAGGAGGAAGGGGUGUGUGUUAAUAGUACACACCUUUGACGUUACUCGCAGAAGAAGCACCGGCUAACUCUGUGCCAGCCGCCGCUGUAACAC